AAGAUGGCGACCGGCGCACGGGUGAGUAACACGUAUCCAACCUGCCGAUAACUCCGGAAUAGCCUUUCGAAAGAAAGAUUAAUACCGGAUGGCAUACGAAUAUCGCAUGAUAUUUUUAUUAAAGAAUUUCGGUUAUCGAUGGGGAUGCGUUCCAUUGGUUUGUUGGCGGGGUAACGGCCCACCAAGACUACGAUGGAUAGGGGUUCUGAGAGGAAGGUCCCCCACAUUGGAACUGAGACACGGUCCAA
rnacentral:rRNA from 1 species